UACGGAGGGAGCUAGCGUUGUUCGGAAUUACUGGGCGUAAAGCGCACGUAGGCGGCUUUGUAAGUUAGAGGUGAAAGCCCGGGGCUCAACUCCGGAACUGCCUUUGAUACUGGCGAUCUUGAGUCCGGGAGAGGUGAGUGGAACUGCGAGUGUAGAGGUGAAAUUCGUAGAUAUUCGCAAGAACACCAGUGGCGAAGGCGGCUCACUGGCCCGAAACUGACGCUGAGGCACGAAAGCGUGGGGGAGCAAACAGG
rnacentral:rRNA from 1 species